AACGAACGCUGGCGGCAUGCCUAACACAUGCAAGUCGAACGAGACCUUCGGGUCUAGUGGCGCACGGGGGCGUAACGCGGGGGAAGCUACACUUAGGUUCGGAAUAACUCCCCGAAAGGGGUGCUAAGACCGGAUGAUGUCUUAGGACCAAAGAUUUAUCGCCUUUGGAUGGGCCCGCGUUGGAUUAGGUGGUUGGUAGGGUAAAAGCCUACCAAGGCGACGAUGCAUAGCUGGUCUGAGAGGAUGCUCCGCCACACUUGGACUGCGACACGGCCCAGACUGCUACGCGAGGGAGCAGUGGGGUGUAUUGGACGCUGGGCGAAAGCCUGAUCCCGCAAUGCCGCGUGAGUGAUGAAGGCCUUAGGGUUGUAAAGCUCCUUUACCCGGGAUGAUAAUGACAGUACCGGGUGAAUAAGCUCCGGCUAACUCCGUG
rnacentral:rRNA from 1 species